CGCCGCCGCUUCGGCCCGGGCCCGGGCGUCGGCCCCGCCCCGGGCCCCGGCCCCGGCCCCAGCCCCAGCCCCGUGUCCAGCCCGGCCAUGAAGUGUCACUACGAGGCGCUGGGGGUGCGGCGCGACGCCAGCGAGGAGGAGCUCAAGAAGGCCUAUCGGAAGCUGGCCCUGAGGUGGCACCCGGAUAAAAAUCUGGAUAAUGCCGCAGAAGCAGCCGAGCAGUUUAAGUUAAUUCAGGCUGCGUACGAUGUGUUGAGCGACCCCCAGGAGAGAGCGUGGUAUGAUAAUCAUAGAGAGGCCUUACUUAAAGGAGGGCUUGACGGAGAAUACCAAGACGACAGCUUAGAUUUGCUCCGCUACUUCACUGUUACCUGUUAUUCCGGCUAUGGAGACGAUGAAAAGGGUUUCUAUGCAGUGUAUCGUGAUGUCUUUGAGCUAAUUGCAAAAGAAGAACUAGAAUGUGUGUCAGAUGGAGAUAUUGAAGAUUUUCCAAACUUCGGGGACUCCCAGAGUGACUAUGACACGGUGGUCCAUCCUUUCUACGCUUACUGGCAGAGUUUCUGCACACAAAAGAAUUUUGCUUGGAAGGAAGAAUAUGAUACUCGGCAAGCGUCAAACCGUUGGGAAAAACGGGCGAUGGAAAAAGAAAACAAGAAAACUCGAGACAAAGCAAGGAAAGAGAAAAAUGAACUGGUGCGCCAGCUUGUAGCCUUCAUUCGAAAACGAGACAAAAGGGUGCAGGCUCAUCGGAAGCUUGUGGAGGAGCAGAACGCAGAGAAGGCAAGGAAGGCGGAGGAGAUGCGGAGGCAGCAAAAGCUGAAGCAAGCCAAACUGGCAGAGCAGUACCGAGAGCAGAGCUGGAUGACCAUGGCCAACUUGGAGAAGGAGCUCCAGGAGAUGGAAGCGAGGUACGAGAAGGAGUUUGGAGAUGGAUCGGAUGAAAAUGAAGUGGAGGAGCAGGAGCCCAAACACGGAUUGGAUGGGAAAGACAGCGAUGAGGCUGAGGAGGCUGAACUCUAUGAUGACCUGUACUGCCCAGCUUGUGACAAGUCCUUCAAGACAGAAAAGGCCAUGAAGAAUCACGAGAAGUCAAAGAAGCAUCGAGAAAUGGUGGCAUUGUUAAAGCAGCAGUUGGAGGAAGAGGAAGAACAUUUUUCAGGAGCGCAAGUGGAUGAAAAUUUAUUGGAUGCCAAUUCUGAGGAAGAAAUGGAAGAUACACCAAAGCAAAAGCUUUCUAAAAAACAGAAGAAAAAGAAACAGAAAUCAGCCCAGAAUUAUGAUAGCAAUUUCAAUGAAAAUGGAGCUGAAGAAGGAGUAAAGGCUGACCCAGAAGAUACUAACUUAAAUGAAGAUAUUGCCAAAGAAUUAGAAAAUAGGCCCCAAGAAAAUGUCUGUGUCACAGAGACCACAGAAGUCUGUGAGGCUCCACAGAAUGAAGCUAAAAGUGUUCCUAAAUCCAAAGGAAAGAAAACCAAAGAUGUGAAAAAACCUGUUAAGAUACCUGCUGAACCACAAACAGUGAGUGAAGUCCUUAUCAACUGUGCAACCUGCCAUAGGGAAUUUCCAUCUCGGAAUAAACUUUUUGAUCAUCUAAAGGCUACUGGUCAUGCAAGAGCAACCUCAGCAUCAGCAUCAUCUUUAAACAGUGUGACAAGUAGUCGAAACAAGAAAGAGAAGCGUAAAAACAGAUAGGAAUUCUGCCAAGUCUUUCUUUUUCUUUUUCUUUUUCUUUUUUUUUUUUAUUCUGUCUCUAGAUUUUGAAACCAAAAACUGAACUGAAAUAAUCUAGAGUUAAAGUUUCAGUGAUCUGCAAUUUACUGCAUUGUGGAAGAUUAUUUUUAUCUUAUAAAGACGUUUUGUUUAAUAUAUCUAUAUUUUUAAACAUUUCACUAGUGAUUGAAUUCUACCUAUGCCAUCUGAAUUCACUUGAAUGUUUCAUGACAGAGUGUGCAAGGAUACCCACAGCUGGGUUGUUUGUACAGGACUCUGGGUAAAAUGUGGCCUACCUACAAGAUGGCAAACGACUGGUGGUAAGAAUGAGUGCACCUGAGAGAUCUGUUAUGGAUAGCGAGCCCUGGAAAAGAUGGAGUGAAAAUAAUUUGUCAAGGUGAUAUGUGUGCCCCAUGCACAGUUUCUUACGGUGCUGUGCUGGUUUUGGUUGUUACUUAUGUAAUUCUCAGUUUCCCACCAGUAGGAGAAAGAGAGAACAAUGAUCACCUCUGUCAGUGCGGGGAAGAAUG